AUGAACGCUGGCGGCGUGCCUAAUACAUGCAAGUCGAGCGAACGGACGAGAAGCUUGCUUCUCUGAUGUUAGCGGCGGACGGGUGAGUAACACGUGGAUAACCUACCUAUAAGACUGGGAUAACUUCGGGAAACCGGAGCUAAUACCGGCUAAUAUUUUGAACCGCAUGGUUCAAAAGUGAAAGACGGUCUUGCUGUCACUUAUAGAUGGAUCCGCGCUGCAUUAGCUAGUUGGUAAGGUAACGGCUUACCAAGGCAACGAUGCAUAGCCGACCUGAGAGGGUGAUCGGCCACACUGGAACUGAGACACGGUCCAGACUCCUACGGGAGGCAGCAGUAGGGAAUCUUCCGCAAUGGGCGAAAGCCUGACGGAGCAACGCCGCGUGAGUGAUGAAGGUCUUCGGAUCGUAAAACUCUGUUAUUAGGGAAGAACAUAUGUGUAAGUAACUGUGCACAUCUUGACGGUACCUAAUCAGAAAGCCACGGCUAACUACGUG
rnacentral:rRNA from 1 species